rfam:HIV-1 isolate CTSC1 subtype C from South Africa gag protein (gag) gene, partial cds.
GGCCAGGAGGAAAGAAACAUUAUAUGCUAAAACACCUAAUAUGGGCAAGCAAAGAGCUGGAAAGAUUUGCACUUAACCCUGGCC